CGACCAAUCAGGUCACCGAAAUAAGGUACGAGAACUGACCAAUCAGGUCAACAGACAUAAGAUAAAGGCACCGAUCAACUAGGUCACCGAAACGAAGUACGAGAACCGACCAAUCAGGUCACCGAAACAAGGUACGAGAACCGACCAAUCAGGUCACCGGUAUCACAUAUGGAUAAACUACUCUACUCCUACACAUGAUACUAAACAUAGAAACAUAUGAGUAGCGCAUAAUAGAAACAAUGGGGAUGCAAGCUCAAUAUAUAAUGCGAUAGUAACAACAGAAGAGUAAGGGUAAGAAACCAUCACCAAGCGUGCACCACUGUACCGACGUCGGAUCGAAGUACCCACCUGUACAACUGUCGCGUCUGUCUCCUGACUGCAAAAGAACGUCAACCGGACCUAAGGAGGGUCCACUGGGUUAGUGUCUAACCCACAACUAAGAAACCCUAAAGGCAUAACCCACAACAAUCCCACAAACAACAAACCACUAGCUCUCACAACCUCACAAACAAACCCACGAUGAUCGGUUUCCUAAAACCAACUAUCGUAACUCGCCGGAAGUCCCGAAAUCGCACCGGGACUCCGUCGGGACCCACGAACUGUCCCGGAACGUACCGACUCGA
rnacentral:lncRNA from 1 species